rnacentral:rRNA from 1 species
UACGUAGGGGGCAAGCGUUGUCCGGAUUUAUUGGGCGUAAAGAGCGUGUAGGCGGUUUGGUAGGUCCGUUGUGAAAACUCGAGGCUCAACCUCGAGACGCCGAUGGAAACCAUCAGGCUAGAGUCCGGAAGAGGAGAGUGGAAUUCCUGGUGUAGCGGUGAAAUGCGCAGAUAUCAGGAAGAACACCCGUGGCUAAGGCGGCUCUCUAGUACGGUACUGACGCUGAGACGCGAAAGCGUGGGGAGCGAACAGG